UACUUUUUAUUUUCGCGCUCGAUCUCCGUGGGUUAUAAUCCCGAGCUCCCCUCUUUCUUCUCCAAUUUCUUCUUCUCCGUUCGAAAGCUACCCGCAAAUCCACCUAUGAGAGCUUCUUCCUUUGGCAUACAUGGCUAAUCCAUCCUUUAGAUUCCAUUAUUAAUAGACUUGGUGAUUGUGGGCAAGCUGUAUUACGUGCGUUCGCGAGAGAGAGUGUUCGAGAGACAGAGACAGGGGAGGGAAGUGCACUGCCAUCACACCACUGUGCAAUUUGAAGAGGAUUGGGGGAACCCACCGCGGAGAAGAUUGGACAAGAAGCACUUGACACAACCUGUUUUCCUCAAAAGGCUGUUUUUUGUAGGUAAGAUAGCAUCAAGGACUCUCCACAUGAAUUCUUUGAUCUUUCCAGCAACUCCAAGAUUUGAUGAACUUUCUGAUACUUCUGGCAUAAACAAAUGGACAUGUAAAUGUUCUUAUACAUAUCAAGGAAAUCAUAGUUAUGCUGUUAAAUCGAACUGUUCCACAUCCUGUAAUUGCAUUCCAGGGAUUUCUUGAUUUACGACUGAACCCUAUAAGGUAGUGAAACGAUGUGAACUGUUCUGUAACUAAAAUACUUGCCAAUAUAGAAGAAACGUAGAGAAAAAGUUACUGGAAAAAAAGCGAUGCAGCUCUGACAAACUUUUGUUUGAGUGUAACAAAAUGGAUUCAUCUUAACUGGGGUGAUGAAGGAUUGAUUACAUUAUUUUCAAAGAUUUGGAGAUUGCUUCAUCCAGUAAUUGUUAUUUAUAUUUUCUUAUUAUGCACAUUUUUUUCUUUGAAUUAUUGAUGGGGCUUUAUCUGAGAGUAAUUCUGAUUUUAUGGUACUUCCACCUUGUCAUGUAAGGUCUAUUGAACCAUCUAUUCAGAAAAUGUUCUUUUCUUAAGCAGGGUGGCAUUCUUGUAUUGGAACCUCAACCUUGGAAGUCGCAUGUAAGCAACUGUCAAGUUUCUGAGAGUUCUAGAAACUGGGCAGGAGGUCACCAAGUGAAUACUCCUUGGAAAUUGAGGACUGUUGCAUGUUUGUAAAUGUUUUAAGCUGGCAUCCUCUAAAGCUAACCAUAUGCUGGCUAGUACUCCUCAUUUUGCUAACCAUCAGUUACUCAUCCAAAGAACCUGAUGUGGAAGAAGUAAGAAGAUUUUAUUAAUAAGUGGCAAUGGUGCAACCCCCAUACACAAUUAGUAUACAUGAGAGACACCUAGCUAGAGUACUCAUUACUUGGGGUGGUGUUAUCAUUUCAUUCAAUCAAGAGGAAUCACUUGCGUCAAAUUUGAGCAUACUUGGAAGAAUCGUUUGUGAGCCUUGAUCCAAUCACGGCAUGGAUUUUGGUGCAGUUUAUGGAAUGCGGAGGGCAUUUAGUGAAGGCGACAUGCUAAAGAGAUGAGUGACGAGAUACAUAAAAUUGAAGCUAAAGAAAAUCAUGCUCAACGUUCAGUUCCCCAAUUGAAUGAGAGAAUCCUUUCAUCUUUGUCAAGGAGAUCAGUUGCUGCACACUCUUGGCAUGAUCUCGAGACUGGACCUGGAGCAUCUCAUAUUUUCAACUGUGUAUGUUUUCGAACUAGGUAUUACAAUAUGAAGUGGUUUGUUAGAAAAGGGAAUAAACAUGUUCUGAGGUUGAAUUUCGUCUGCCUUAUCUUUUUCCUGUAUUUUCUGUAUUGAUUGUAGCGCAUCCAAUAAUCCGUAGUGUAAGGUAAAAUUGUGAAGCCUGCAAAACUUGGAUGUAUAUAAUAUUUUUUCUAUAUUUUUUG